UGGGGAAUUUUCCGCAAUGGGCGAAAGCCUGACGGAGCAAUACCGCGUGAGGGAGGAAGGCCUUUGGGUUGUAAACCUCUUUUCUUAAGGAAGAAGUUCUGACGGUACUUAAGGAAUAAGCAUCGGCUAACUCCGUGCCAGCAGCCGCGGUAAUACGGAGGAUGCAAGCGUUAUCCGGAAUCAUUGGGCGUAAAGCGUCCGCAGGUGGCACUUCAAGUCUGCUGUCAAAGAUCGGGGCUUAACCCCGGGCAGGCGGUGGAAACUGAAGAGCUAGAGUUCGGUAGGGGUAGUGGGAAUUCCCAGUGUAGCGGUGAAAUGCGUAGAGAUUGGGAAGAACAUCGGUGGCGAAAGCGCACUACUGGGCCGAGACUGACACUCAGGGACGAAAGCUAGGGGAGCGAAAGGG
rnacentral:rRNA from 1 species